rnacentral:rRNA from 1 species
GACGAACGCUGGCGGCGUGCCUAAUACAUGCAAGUAGAACGCUGAAGAGAGGAGCUUACUCUUCUUGGAUGAGUUGCGAACGGGUGAGUAACGCGUAGGUAACCUGCCUUGUAGCGGGGGAUAACUAUUGGAAACGAUAGCUAAUACCGCAUAACAAUGGAUGACACAUGUCAUUUAUUUGAAAGGGGCAAUUGCUCCACUACAAGAUGGACCUGCGUUGUAUUAGCUAGUAGGUGAGGUAAUGGCUCACCUAGGCGACGAUACAUAGCCGACCUGAGAGGGUGAUCGGCCACACUGGGACUGAGACACGGCCCAGACUCCUACGGGAGGCAGCAGUAGGGAAUCUUCGGCAAUGGGGGCAACCCUGACCGAGCAACGCCGCGUGAGUGAAGAAGGGUUUCGGAUCGUAAAGCUCUGUUGUAAGUCAAGAACGGGUGUGAGAGUGGAAAGUUCACACUGUGACGGUAGCUUACCAGAAAGAGACGGCUAACUACGUG